rnacentral:rRNA from 1 species
AGAGUUUGAUCAUGGCUCAGAAUCAACGCUGGCGGCGUGCCUAACACAUGCAAGUCGAGCGAGAAAGUGGAGCAAUCCAUGAGUACAGCGGCGCACGGGUGAGUAACACGUGACUAACCUACCCUCGAGUGGGGAAUAACUUCGGGAAACCGAGGCUAAUACCGCAUAACACUUACGAGUCAAAGGAGCAAUCCGCUUGG